rnacentral:rRNA from 1 species
UACGUAGGGUGCGAGCGUUGUCCGGAAUUACUGGGCGUAAAGCGUGCGCAGGCGGUUUCUUAAGUCAGAUGUGAAAGCCCCGGGCUCAACCUGGGAAUUGCGAUGGAGACUGCAAGGCUAGAAUCUGGCAGAGGGGGGUAGAAUUCCACGUGUAGCAGUGAAAUGCGUAGAGAUCAUGAGGAAGACCAGUGGCGAAGGCGGGUCUCUGGACCGAGACUGACGCUGAGGCGCGAAAGCGUGGGGAGCAAACAGG